GCUACAAUCUAUUGAUGGUGUUGAUGAGCUAGACUCUUUGCGCGAUUUCUAUGUUUCUAGCUGUUGGAAACUGGAAGCUCUGAUGGACGUAUCUAACACGAAGUUGUCUGAUGAAUGCCUAAUAACAAUUCGGAAGUGUCGGAAAUUACAAAGCCAUGGCUAUCCUAAUGUCAAUGGCCUUCCCUACAGGGAUUACAAGGACAUGAUUGUUGCAACGGCAAACUCUCCUACGGGGUCACUCCCUUUAGAGACAUCAGACGAGGAUGAAGAUGAAACGAAUGAUGAAGCGGAAGAGCUGGAGGUGGAUAGAGACAGCUUUGACGAUAAUAACUCACCUACCAUCAUAACUUCUCACGAACCUGAUACUGAGCUUUGACACCGAAUUCUUUCACCCGCUAAUUCUCAAGAUGAAGAGAUUCCCAUUGUAAGCUAUGGUGAAUGAGGGACCCAAUAUGACCACAAUCUUUUUUGAUUGCACCAGGGAUUUUCAUCUUUAGUUUCUUCCUACUCUGGGAAAAAAAAAGAAGGGAUAGAGUAUAGAGUCACCAUAGGCCCCUAAACUUUUCCAACUUGUUGGAUCGGAUUUCUGAAUUUUUCUGUGCAAUUGGAUCCUUAAAGUACAUGUUUUUCUUUUGUUCGAGUUGAUCUUUUUGGUAAA